rnacentral:rRNA from 1 species
CCUACGGGGGGCUGCAGUGGGGAAUAUUGGACAAUGGGGGCAACCCUGAUCCAGCCAUGCCGCGUGUGUGAAGAAGGCCCUCGGGUUGUAAAGCACUUUCAGUGAGGAAGAACGCCUGGUGGUUAAUACCCAUCAGGAAAGACAUCACUCACAGAAGAAGCACCGGCUAACUCCGUGCCAGCAGCCGCGGUAAUACGGAGGGUGCGAGCGUUAAUCGGAAUUACUGGGCGUAAAGCGCGCGUAGGUGGCUUGAUAAGCCGGUUGUGAAAGCCCCGGGCUCAACCUGGGAACGGCAUCCGGAACUGUGAAGCUAGAGUGCAGGAGAGGAAGGUGGAAUUCCCGGUGUAGCGGUGAAAUGCGUAGAGAUCGGGAGGAAUACCAGUGGCGAAGGCGGCCUUCUGGACUGAAACUGACACUGAGGUGCGAAAGCGUGGGUAGCAAACAGGAUUAGAUACCCGAGUAGUC